rnacentral:rRNA from 1 species
UAGCGUAGGGGGCUAGCGUUGUCCGGAUUUAUUGGGCGUAAAGAGCGUGUAGGCGGCCAGGUAGGUCUGCUGUGAAACUCGAGGCUCAACCUCGAGCUGUCGGCGGAAACCAUCUGGCUAGAGUCCGGAAGAGGAGAGUGGAAUUCCUGGUGUAGCGGUGAAAUGCGCAGAUAUCAGGAAGAACACCCGUGGCGAAGGCGGCUCUCUGGGACGGUACUGACGCUGAGACGCGAAAGCGUGGGGAGCGAACAGG